GAUGAACGCUGGCGGCGUGCCUAACACAUGCAAGUCGAGCGACUCUCUUCGGAGAAGAGCGGCGGACGGGUGAGUAACGCGUGGGUAACCUGCCCUGUACACACGGAUAACAUACCGAAAGGUAUGCUAAUACGAGAUAAUAUACUUUUAUCGCAUGGGAGAAGUAUCAAAGCUCCGGCAGUACAGGAUGGACCCGCGUCUGAUUAGCUAGUUGGUAAGGUAACGGCUUACCAAGGCGACGAUCAGUAGCCGACCUGAGAGGGUGAUCGGCCACAUUGGAACUGAGACACGGUCCAAACUCCUACGGGAGGCAGCAGUGGGGAAUAUUGCACAAUGGGCGAAAGCCUGAUGCAGCAACGCCGCGUGAGCGAUGAAGGCCUUCGGGUCGUAAAGCUCUGUCCUCAAGGAAGAUAAUGACGGUACUUGAGGAGGAAGCCCCGGCUAACUACGUGCCAGCCGCCGCAGUAA
rnacentral:rRNA from 1 species